GCACUCACUUCAGCAGCACACAUACUGAAAUCGGAACAAUGCAGAGAAAAUUAGCAUGGCCCCUGUACAAGAAUGACACGCAAAUUCCUGAAGUGUUUCGUAUUUUU
ensembl:snRNA U6 U6 spliceosomal RNA